GUUAAUAAUAAUUUAUGUAGGGCUUUGCCAGGAAACAAAACACAAAAUAAACUCCAAUAAUAAAAGAAUAAUUGCCAGUAAUAGAAGUACAAAGCAAUAAUGUACCAAACAAACAAACAAACCCCGAAUUAAAGAAUUGAUAAGAACAGAAAAAAAGGUUAUUUCCUCUUUGAAGCAUUUUUGGCUGGUGCAACUUAUAUUAGUCGUACGCUGUUUACUUUUUAUUUCUUUACCCCUUUAUUCCAUGCAGGGUCAUUGGAGCUGGCGAUAUUCCCAGCAUGCACUGGUCUGUCACAUGGAGAACAAACUCAUUCUCAACCACAGGCAAAUUAGUCUCCACCCAACCUAGAUGUCUUUGCGCUGUGGGAGGAAACCCACUCAGAGAACACAACGCUGCACACCUUUUUUCACCUGUUUCUCACUUUAAAUCGAUUUGUGGGGAGUGGGGAGUUAACAUUUCUGUCUUGGCGAGAUUCUUUUUCCCAGUUAAUGGCAUUUAAUUUAAAGUUUCCGCUUACAGAGCAUGCGGCGUGUCGCGUCGAUAAGAAUCUCACAUCGACAGACGUGCAUGCACUUAAAAAUCGAGGUGGCAAAACGGUGUUGUCAGCCAUUUUCUGAUAAGAAGAGUCCUGAGACUUUAUGAACGUCUGAGAAGUGUUGAUAAAUUAGGGUGUAAGAGAAGACCCGAUAAUGGAGAUGGGGGAGGAUGACUGUGUGUUCUCUGCGCAGUGGUUUUUCUGGCUCACAAAUACUAAGACUUAACAUGAGCCAACAUCUUAAAUAAGAGUAGUCGGCGACAGGACAGUCCUUGAGAAUCACCUUUACCUCUGCAGAGGACCCGUACCUCACCGUUGCUACGCACGCACUGUGCAUGAACACGCUCAGACACCACUGUACUGUAUCCACCAACCAUAUCUGCCGUUACUGGCACAGGGAAUAUCGUAGGUCUACAGCCAUCAGAACAAACAAUACAAGACUGUCAACACAUCAAACAUUUGUAUGGACUCCUUAAACACAGGAAUACACACAAGCUAAUUGUACAGAAACACACUCCAUCACAAACUGUUUGAUUGACACUAAGUAAAUUAAUGAGAUUUUUUUUUUUUUUUUUAAGUUUGUCUCAGAAUUACCAAGUUUUAUGAUUUACUACUUAACCUCAUUUCAACAUCUGGUGCUGGAGUUCAUUCUGUUUGCACUAAUUGUGUGAAAAUGUCAUUGAAACCUCAAACCGAAGACUGUAAAUUAAGACAGUGCACUCACGUCAAACAAAAUUCUGCACAGUGAAUAAUUAUACGUAUAAGUGGUGAGAAGGGUGUGCAUAGCUAAAAGUUAUAAACACAUCAUUCUACUUUAUUUAGCGAAGAAAACAGUACCGUUGGCUAAUAACGUAAAUUAGCAAGCAACCUGAGAAGCUUUAGCAACUUAUGGUAUUGGAUGAAUGUAAAGUAGCAUUGUUUAACAUUUUGUGUGUCAGUUUGUUUGAGGGAGGCAGGAUUAAUGUUCUGAGCCCCUGAUGGCCAUCAAGGGGUGAUAAACAUCGUAAACCCUCACUGUCCGGGAAUUUUUACAGCCUGUGCAUCAUACAUAUAAUUCCCUUUUAUUUUCCCAGCAGUGUGUGGCAUCACAUUUGUCAUGAAUAUUUAGGGUUUUUCCUGACAGGUGUUACUGUGGAAUUAGUUCAAGGAAUUUUUUCCUAUGAAUUAAUAGGUUUUUUAAAAAGUUUGUGACAGUUUAUGACUGCUCAAAAUAAUUAGAGGAACACUAUGUUCCCCUAAUUAAUAUGACUUAUUUUGAGCAGGUGUGUGUGUGUGUGUGUGUGUGUGUAAUGAAAAGGUACUUUUAAAAGGAAGAAAAGGUAAACCAAGGUUGUAUUUUACUGUUUCAGUGCUGCGUCCCCUCACGUUUUAUUUUUGAAAUGGUUGAUUGAUUACAGAGUAUAAAUGUUUAUCCUUUUUUCUGUUUGAGCCACAAAUAUACUAGCAGUAGUACAUUUAAAAUAUCUGUGAAAAUACUGCUGGUAUGUUGAGCUUUGCAUGCUGAAACCUUCAGUGUGUAAUCAGAAAUUGUAGUUAAAUUGACUCUGUGGUGAGUCCAUAUUGUCUCCUCCAAAUAUUAUUAUAUCAAGAUAAUUGUAUUUUAAUCAUAGUGCAACUCUGAUAGAGUUGAUUUAACACUCUUUGAAAUGGGACCAUCAAUAUUCACUGUAGAGUCAGUUAAAUUUUUUUUCUUUAGUUACCCCAAACUAAUCCUUAUGCUAAUUUUUGCAAUGUGAACAAUAAUGGUUCACAUGCAUUUGCAUCUUGCUUGUUGGCUUAUCCUUCGUAAUUUAAUGAUUAGUGUUCCAGAGUAAAGCUCAUGUUAAAUGGAGGAUUCUUCGCACCAAUUUUAGCCAUGGUACGGUCAACUUUGAAAGAGAAGAAAACCUGCCAUGCUGGUUGGCGCAACUAUUUCAACUCAUUGCAAACCCAAGGUUAAUUGUACCAAGUUAUACUACAUAUUAAGUAUAUCAUGUCCAUUCAUGUCAUUAAAGUGUUUUGUUGGAAGCUUUGCUUAGUAUAUAAUCUGUUUUUACAAUAUUCACAAGGUUCCAUGUCUAAUAUUCAAAUGUAAGAUAACUGCACAUGAUUUCAUUUAACUUGCAAAAACAGAUAUGUGCCAUUUUUUUAUACUAAAAUUAUAGAUUCUGAAAUUUUUGUGUGUGUGCUGGGGGGGAGUGGGGUGUUUUUCAAUGCAAAAAAAAUCCAGAUUUUAUUUAAGUAAGGAGAGACACCGUUGUUUCUUGACACUUUUUUUGUUUGUUUGUUUUAAAUAAUGGCACUGAACUGUUUUUGUAACUCUGUGUAGAAAACAUGCAUUUGUUUAUCUUUUUCACAAAUAUUCACAGACUAAUUUCUUAUGCUUUCUUUUCAUUGCAGUGUUUAUGUCUAAUUUGUGAAGUCAGUCCUGCACUGUAAGCAGAUCUGUGUAUUAUAGAUCAGAUCCGAGGAAAGCCGCGCUAUAAAUGAGACAACAUUGGUGGAAUUUUUUUGUGCUCUAACACAAGUGGAUUCUAAAAACGACAUUUAAUUUACUCAAUAUUUAUGAUUUACGGAGGCCACAGAAGAUGCUGUAAUGAUACUGCUGUCUAGAACACUUCAUGUAUAAGGAUCAUUACGUUUGUCCGUUUGACUUCUGUUAAAUGUGGAAAAGUUACAACCGUUAGCAUGUUAAUGAAUUUAACCUUCACAUAGUCUGUAACAUGUGAAGUGAAUGUAUUUUAAUGCUGGAUAUUGAAUUUAUUGGGGGUGGGGGGGUGUCAUCUUUUUAAACUGUUUGAAGAGAUUUUAUAAGUUGUUUUGAGUCAGUGCUGUUGCAGUAAUUUAGCCAACAGCUUGUUUAAUUUACAGAAAAAAGGUUUCAGUAUCCAAAGCCCAGAAGAGAGUAACACCAGUGUUAAAAGUGACAAAUGAUGGAGUGAAAAUGACAUAAGGAACCUGGUGUGACUGCGGUACUUAUCAAAGCGUGCAGUGACAGAGUUUAUUCUGUUUCUUUACACAAUCUUUAAUUUAUGCUGUUUAAGGGAGUUUGAGAGCUGCAUUGAGCAAUAUAUAUAUAUAUGUGUGUGUGUGUGUGAUUUUGGGGAUAGGGUGGGAACAGAUGGGCAUAUUAGUUUUUAUUGCUCUGACGUGAUUGAGAGUGCACAUAUAUAUAUUGAAAGUGUAACUGCAUUAAAUUAUUUAUAUCUUAA